GAAAGGAGAAGGAGAGAGAGAAAGCAAGGGAGGGAGGUAGAUGGAGAGAGAGAGUGUGUGUAUAACUUUGGGAAACAUAGGAAGAGACAGCAUUGGGAACAAACUUUUCUCUCUUGGCUGCUUCCUUUUGGACUUUUUCACAUUUCAUCAAAUACCUCAGUGUCAACAGAGCGGAGACAAGGGAUGAUAAUUUGCUUGCUUUACUAGUUAAAGAGUUAUUUCUUAGUUAUUUAGUGUUGUCGUUCUGUUGCAUUUUUAUCUGAUUGUUUCUUCACUGUCUGAGCUUUGAAGAAGGCGUGACCACACAUCUAAAAUCCUUCCAAACUUAGCUGCAGCUCUCUCCAGCUCACGGGACUGUGAAGCUGGACUGAGACGCACACACACACACACACACACACACACACACACUCACACACAACAUACACACACCUGUUGUUGCUGAGGAUUCCCCAGGAUCGCAGUAAUGGGCAUCUGCGUCACUGUUGCUUGAGGGAAUCUGUGCAUCUGUACAGCUGUUAUCUGCUGGUGGCCUCAGUGAAUGUUACAGUAGAAGUUAACCUGCCUGUCCAGGGUAGAGGAAGGAAAUGUCAUCCUACUACCCCCGCACCAAGGACCUGACUCGCACCAGGAAGUCACUGACAGAUUCACCGCCAUCCUCUCCAUCUCCUACAGACAAAAACUACAGACAUGACAGAUUGUCAAGAUAUGACUCCAGUGGGGAGAAUGCAACAGACAAACCAUUGGGCCGCACCAGCUCUUACACACGGAGGGAGACGAGGCUGGCCGCUCUGAAUAGACAGGAGCAAGACUCCACUACCAAAGACUAUAAGAAGAUGUAUGCAGAAGCUUUGCAUGAGAAUGAGAGGCUCAAGUCCAGGUUGCAGGACAGCAAACAAGAACUGGUCAAAAUACGUUCCCAGCUGGAGAAAGUCACUCAGAGGCAGGACAGAAUAUCAGAGAGAUCUUCAGUACUUGAUUCAGAGAAAAGGGAAAAACAAGCGUUAGAGAAAAGAGUGUCAAACAUGGAGGAGGAGUUAAAGGCUUUCCCUGCUCUGGCUCAGGUCCAGAGCUUGCGGAGGGUGAACGAGUGUCUCCUGGCUGAGAAUAGAGCCAUGCUGCGUGUCCUCGCCCGCCUCUCUGAGACGGCCUCCAUGCCGGAGACAGAGGACCUCUGAGCCUCUGACAUCAUGUGUCCUCCUUUCUCCCCCUCCUCUCCCCUUCUCAGCCACAUAACUUCUACACUCCUCUCUCCUUCUGAUGCCUCUACAGCCCCCUCGUCCUCUGCUGUGUUCCUCUCAGGCAGAUCUUAACGGAGCUCAAGUCAGACAACAUGAGGCUAAAGGACGAGAAUGGGGCUCUCAUUCGAGUCAUCAGCAAACUGUCCAAAUGAAAAGAUGUCUGAAGCUUCUGUUCUGGACGCUCCAACCCUGAUAUGGCAGAUUAAUUACCCAUGAUGUCCCAAGUUGUGGCUUCUCUCUGAGUUAUGGUGAUUUGGCUGCUUUGCAGAAAUAAAUUCCUGUUGGGACUUGUGAAGAUCCAAAGAGAAGUGUUGAGAAGUUUCAGUCAGAUUUCAAUGUAUGUGGUGAUGGAGUUACAACAAUUGUUUUUACUUGAUUAGUUAUUAUUUUUUUGUAAUAUAUAGUAUUUUACACUAACCAAAUAGGGACCAGUUGUACUGUUUGAAUAACCUUUUAAGGCCCAGUUCAAACAAAUCCAGGGGUUUGCAUGAAGGUACUGUUUCUAAAAUUAUACCCACACAUCACAUUGAGACAUCACGUUUGUUGCUACAUUGUGCACUGCAGAAAAAGUAUUUUAAUGUUUUACUUAGGAAAGAAGAGAGAAGCCAAUUAUUCAUCGUCACUAAAUGAUUUCAUUGUCAUUCAAUCUUUAUGUCAUCAAUUGCAUCAUUUUUUCCAUGCCAAAGGCUUGUUUGGCAUUAUAAAAAUCUUUAUAAUUUGAAACAGAAUAUAUGACUGUUCAGGUAAAAUUAAACCCCACCAAGUAACAAACAGGUGAUCUGGGUCCUAAAGCUAAAACUAAAAGUUAAUAUAAAUAUGUUCAAGGCAUCAGCAAUAACAGUUGAAGCCUUUACAGAAGCUGCUGUAAGGUGCAGCUCUUCUAAUGAAAACUAGAUGUUUGCUCCAGACUCAGAAUGUAUUGAAACUGAGAAAAUGUCCAGCUUCUCUCAUUCAUUUUUAUAUAACAAUUUAUUUUGAAAUUUGUACUCCCUGAUAAUGAUAUUAAGGCUUAAUAAGAUGCAUGUUUUGGGUGUUUGCCUUGACAGCUUUCUGAGGUUGGUCACAGCUUACACCACUUAAAUUUGAAUUUUAAAACUCAAAGUUCUGUAAACUUUCAAUCCAAAACUUUUAACAUCCAUGCUUUUUGACAAUUUUCUAUGGGCCAAGUAUCAGUGGCCUGAGAUAUAUUCACAUAUAUUGCAUUGCAUCAGCAAACAGCUAAACAUUUCAACUCGUUUCAAAAAUGAAAAUGAGAAUUUUGUUUACCUAACAUGUGAUAAUAUCCUCACUGUAUUUGUUGUUUGAUGGGCCAUAUGUUAGCCCUCAAAGGCAGAGUAUUGGGUAUAUGCACUUUGUAUAGAGUGGACAGUUAUUUAGUGUUUGCGAGAUUCUGUCCAUCAGCUCUUUGUGUGGUUUCAGUAGCCAUUCUUUUGUUUUCGGUUUUGUCUUUCAUAGAGGAUUUUAUAUCCAAUGACUUAAAAACAGAAGAAUGGCUACACAGAGAAGACAGUCUGAGUGUGUGUGAAAGAAAGUGUUCUAUGUUAUGUUUUAUAAUUGAUAUAUGUAUUUAUUUAUUUAUGCAUUUCCUAGUUUUAACCUUUAUACUUUGUUUACUCCAUUUUCUGUCAAAGGAGUACACCAAUUAUUUUGGUUGACCUCUUGGCCAUCUUCCCGUUAGGUGAUGAAAAAUACAAAUGCAAAAUCAUCCACUGGUAGACGCGCUGGAAAAUCACAGCUGACAUUUUAGUCUCAACAAUAUUGUGAUCUUAAAUAUCAAUCACAAUCCAAAGUUUGAGUAGUAAACUGUUGCUAGCACUUUUCAUUAUAUGUGGUAAAUUGCAUACAUUUUGAAUUUAUUGUGUUUUGUUUAUACUAAUGUCACAAUAAAUUAAGUUAAAUCAACAAUUACUUAAGUACUCUGAGUUGCCAGUUUAUUAGGUAUACAUCUAAUACAAUCCAAUACUACAGCCCGGCAAUAAAUCCUAACUUUAUGAGGCUUAUCAACUUUUGUUAUUUUGUAGGCCAUAUUUACUGGUGCUGCUGUAUUGUGUUGUGCAAUACAUUGAAAAUAUUCAAUAUUUGGGGUCCACUCAAUGUUUGAAAAAUUAACUAGUUAGUCUACUUAACACGAGAAAUAAAAUUAAAACCAUGGAAGAGGCUGCUGCCUUGUAGGGGUUAGUCAUCACCUUCACUAUAUUCUAUAAAGAGGGAAGGUAGAUAAAGUCAUCCCUAGUUUAAAACUGUGUUAUUUAUGGAUCUUAUUAUAUUUAAUGUAUAAAACAGCCAGACUCAGCUUCACAUUUUUAAUUCCUUCAACUGUAGAGUUGCUACAAGUGUUGAAUGGUGUGCCGGAGAGAUGAAUGAUUUUGGGAUCUGUCUUUUCUUCACUUAAUGGGUUAGGUGACGUAGGUGAUGUAUUCCUUUAACAAUUUGAUGGGUUUUGGAGUUCAACCAGGGCGACAAGAUGCAACACCAGUGUCACAGCCAGUAAACUGAUUUACUCAAAACUACGAAGAAGAUACAGUACAUGUCAACUAUUUGUGCUGUAGGUAUAUUGAACUAUGCAGUGUAUUGUAUUGAAAUGUUUGAAAUGUGUUGAUGAUACCCUAAUAUACACACAUCGGUUUACUCACGUUGCUUAAUAAACUGUAGAGGAAUGAAA